rnacentral:rRNA from 1 species
AGAGUUUGAUCCUGGCUCAGGAUUAACGCUGGCGGCAUGCCUAAUACAUGCAAGUCGAACGAAAAAUAUAUAGAUGCUUGCAUUUAGAUAUUUUUAGUGGCGAACGGGUGAGUAAUAUAUAGAUAACCUACCUUUAAGUUGGGGAUAACAGAGGGAAACUUUUGCUAAUACCGAAUAAAAUAAUUAGACGCAUGUUUAAUUAUUAAAAGGGGCUUCAAAGCCCCGCUCUAAGAGGGGUCUAUAUCGCAUUAGCUAGUUGGUAAGAUAACAGCCUACCAAGGCUAUGAUGCGUAGCUGUACUGAGAGGUAGAACAGCCACAUUGGGACUGAGAUACGGCCCAAACUCCUACGGGAGGCAGCAGUAGGGAAUUUUCGGCAAUGGGGGGAACCCUGACCGAGCAAUGCCGCGUGAUUGAAGAAGAUCUUCGGAUCGUAAAGAUCUGUUAUUAGGGAAGAAUGGAAUUGAUAGGAAAUGAUCAAUUUAUGACGGUGCCUAAUGAGGAAGCCCCGGCUAACUAUGUGCCAGCAGCCGCGGUAAUACAUAGGGGGCGAGCGUUAUCCGGAAUUAUUGGGCGUAAAGGGUACGUAGGCGGGCCUGCAAGUCUGAUUUGAAAGCACACGGCUUAACCGUGUGAGGUAAUUAGAAACUACAGGUCUAGAGAGUGGUAGAGGUAAAUGGAAUUCCAAGUGGAGCGGUGAAAUGCGUAGAGAUUUGGAGGAACACCAGUGGCGAAGGCGGUUUACUGGGCCACAUCUGACGCUGAUGUACGAAAGCGUGGGGAGCAAACAGGAUUAGAUACCCUGGUAGUCCA